GGCAAGACCAAAAGAGGUUGCUCCAAUCGAACGUGAGAUGGCGAUAGGCAGGAUCACCCUUACGCCGAAAG
rnacentral:sRNA from 1 species